rnacentral:rRNA from 1 species
GGAUUGACACAUCGGUCGUGCCUUAAGGGGUAUGAACUGGUGUAGUCAAUUUCUCACCUUCUGGAGAACCACGAUGCCCUUAAUUUGGUGUCGUGGGGAAUCAGGACUGUUACUUUGAAAAAAUUAGAGUGUUUAAAGCAGGCGCACGCUUGAAUACAUUAGCAUGGAAUAAUGAAAUAGGACGUUUGAUUCUAUUUUGUUGGUUUCUAGGAUCGACGUA